rnacentral:piRNA from 1 species
UCCACACCUUCUGGGAGCCUACCCACGCUU